AUACACACCAGGACUUUUUUUUUCUUUUUUUUUAAUUUAUCCACCUGAAUUACUUUUACCUUUUAUGAAGGGCAUAGUAAUUCAUACUUGAACCAAAAUAUCAGGGGUCAUCCUCCUUGAUAACUGGCAUCAUCGUCUCUUUCCUAUAUAGUACAUACUAUACUGUUCAUGCUUUAUGAAUGGCUUCAGGAUAGUGCCACCUAUGUGGAUCCCCCAAUCAACCAUUUUAUAUUUCAUUCGUCAAUUUAUCAAGACCUGCAAUUUAUUAAAGGUAAUUCAGAUCAAAGAAUUGCAGGGCAGCUGGUAAAUCCUGACGAAAAUAGAUCCGCUGCUAUCCAAUUUUCACAAGAUAAGUCAUGCUACAAUUUUAUACCCAUUUCUCUCUGAUAGAUUGAUUAAAUAUACAUCCAGCCAUUUAAUAUUUAUUGUGAAAGAGAUAGACAGAGGAUUUUAUUAUAACCUAUCAUUUCUGUUUGUGUCUACA